rnacentral:pre_miRNA from 1 species
GGUGAACCCAGAGGGGUGUGCCUAAGAACACAGGUGCAUUGGUUCUUUUUUUCCAAUUGCUCAAACCAAAAUAUAUUUGUGUUCUCAGGUCACCCCUUUGGGGUCACC